rnacentral:rRNA from 1 species
GUAUAAGAGACAGCAGCAGCCGCGGUAAUACGUAGGGUGCAAGCGUUAAUCGGAAUUACUGGGCGUAAAGCGUGCGCAGGCGGUUAUAUAAGUCAGAUGUGAAAUCCCCGGGCUCAACCUGGGAACUGCAUUUGAGACUGUAUGGCUAGAGUGUGUCAGAGGGGGGUAGAAUUCCACGUGUAGCAGUGAAAUGCGUAGAUAUGUGGAGGAAUACCGAUGGCGAAGGCAGCCCCCUGGGAUAACACUGACGCUCAUGCACGAAAGCGUGGGGAGCAAACAGGAUUAGAUACCCCUGUAGUCCCUGUCUCUUAUAU